GCUCAGUCAGAGUUUGAUCCUGGCUCAGGACGAACGCUGGCGGCGUGCUUAACACAUGCAAGUCGAACGAUGAAGCCGCUUCGGUGGUGGAUUAGUGGCGAACGGGUGAGUAACACGUGGGCAAUCUGCCCUGCACUCUGGGACAAGCCCUGGAAACGGGGUCUAAUACCGGAUAUGACACACGGCCGCAUGGUCUGUGUGUGGAAAGCUCCGGCGGUGCAGGAUGAGCCCGCGGCCUAUCAGCUUGUUGGUGGUGAUGGCCUACCAAGGCGACGACGGGUAGCCGGCCUGAGAGGGCGACCGGCCACACUGGGACUGAGACACGGCCCAG
rnacentral:rRNA from 1 species